UACGUAGGGAGCGAGCGUUGUCCGGAUUCAUUGGGCGUAAAGAGCUCGUAGGCGGCUUGGUAAGUCGGAUGUGAAACCUCCAGGCUCAACCUGGAGUCGCCAUCCGAUACUGCCAUGGCUAGAGUCCGGUAGGGGCCCACGGAAUUCCUGGUGUAGCGGUGAAAUGCGCAGAUAUCAGGAGGAACACCGGUGGCGAAGGCGGGACUCUGGGCCGAUACUGACGCUGAGGAGCGAAAGCGUGGGGAGCAAACAGG
rnacentral:rRNA from 1 species